GGGUUGUUGAUGAGAACUCAUACUGUCUCAAAGAGAUGAUGACUUAAAAAUCAUCUUCAAUAGGAUUAUGCUGAGGCCC
ensembl:snoRNA SNORD115 Small nucleolar RNA SNORD115